rnacentral:rRNA from 1 species
UACGUAGGGUGCGAGCGUUAAUCGGAAUUACUGGGCGUAAAGUGUGGGCAGGUGGCCGCGCAAGUCGAGUGUGAAAUCCCCGAGCUUAACUUGGGAAUUGCGCUCGAAACUACGUGGCUCGAGUGUGGCAGAGGAAGGUGGAAUUCCACGUGUAGCGGUGAAAUGCGUAGAGAUGUGGAGGAACACCGAUGGCGAAGGCAGCCUUCUGGGCCAACACUGACGCUCAUGCACGAAAGCGUGGGGAGCAAACAGG